UCACGCUUUUUCGACCCGCUCUCCUCAGUUGGUGGGCGACUGCUUUUGUUUUGCUGGGGAGGGGAUUGGAUGGGGUUGACCGAGAUAGGCGAAAACGGCGGAGGGAAGGGGGGCUCCUCGCCGGUGAUUAGAGGCAGGACCGGCUGGGCAAAGAUGGCGCGCGGCGAGCCUCCCGCAAGCAGCGCUUGUAGGCGGGAUGCGUGCUUCACUGGGACGGUUGUAGGGGGAGAGAUGUAGGUCCGGAGAGGAGCUCGGCGGACCUCUCCCGUCGUGCUCGCCAUCAGCAAGCGCACGUCGGUGGCGGAGCUUAUAGUCGCCGGUGCAGGUCAGGUGAAAGAUCUACGUCGCAGGGGGUGGUUUAGUUCGUGGUCCAAGAUAGGGAGGAUUGUUUUGUUUAUCUGCUGGGCGGCGCUAGCAAUUUCAUGUGUUAGUGUGGUGUCACAGACUCAUGCUCCGGAGGGUGUGGUGUCACAGACUGAUGCGCUUUCAGUAGUUCAGCGGAAAAGAAAUGGAAAGUCACUUUUUGUCAAGUUUCAGACCUUCAGUUAAAUUGUUCGAUGUUCAUUAUUUCAUUUUCAGUGUUAGUAUUCAUUUUUUAGUACAAGUGCUCAGUCGGUUAUCAGACCUUCAGUUAAAUUGUUGAAUGUUCAUUAUUUCAUUUUCAGUGUUAUUAUUCAUUUUUUAGUAUAAGUGCUCAGUCGGUUAUCAGACCUUCAGUUUUUUAGCAUUUCUCCAUUGUUUAGUAUAAGUGUUCAGACCUUCAUUGUUUUAUUUUUAUUAUCAUUUCAGUUAAUUAGUUUGUUUUUCUUAUUUCUUCAUUUUAUCAUUCAGGGACCUUAGUUUCUUUCAUCAGUGAUGGUUAGGUAGGUUAGUUAUCAUAGGAAGUUCAGUUCCGUCAGUUAUCAUAUCAUUGUUUCUCUUACUUUUGUUUUUCUGAGUCUUCGCAUUCUUCAUUCAUAUCAAAUUAUUAUUUUUUCAGUCAUUUCUCAGUCUUGUGUUUCUGUUAUCAGUGUCUCAUUUCUCUUGUCAUUCAAAUUUUCUUUGUGUGCUAGUUGUUUUCAGUCUUGAGACGUUGUAUGGGUGGAAUUAGUCCUUCAUUUUUUGUUUUCCACUCUUACUAAUUUUUUUUAGUUAUCUUUGCCUUUCAUCCCUUAGUCUUCAGUUAUCAUUCCAGCCGUAUAUUUAAUUAUUCUUCAGUUCCAACCGUGUUCAUUAUCUUGAUACUGAUCAUUCUUUUGUUGUUAGAUAACUAAUCUUUAGUGCAACCCCUUCAGUCCCUUUUUAGUCAUUCUUUCUUUUGGUGAAGUAAAAAUGACAUGAUCAACUUUUUCUAUGACCUUAGUUUGUCCCCAGUCAUCUUCAUCAUAACUUUUCUAUUCUUUAAACAUUUGAUUUAGCAUCAGUUUUGUCUAUGACCUUAGUUUUGCCAUCUUCAUUAUUCUAUCUACACAACUUGCUCAUUUUUUAUUUCUUCCUGCUUUUUGGUUAGUUUCAGAAGUGAUAUUAGCUGCCAAGUUGCCAUCCUGUAGAUGCCCUUUUCUUUUGUUGUCCUUUAUCAGUAUCUGUGUUCUUAUGAUUAACACAAUAUCUUGUCUGAUAACCAAAAAUAGGUGGAACAUAAAUAGGAAUUUUAAUUUACAUCACUUGUAAUAUAUGAGAGCAAAGCAUGCCUUCUCUUAGGUAUUCACUAACAUUCUCAUUUCCAUUUGAUUCACUUCAUUAACAUUUUCAGCCUUGUGUUUAUUUUUAUCUUUUGACCAUGCAUCUAGCAUUCUGCAGUUUUGCAUGGGCAGACAUAGGUAGUAAUACAACAUCUAGCAUUGCAUUUUGCAUAAUUCUGAAAUUUUGUGUCUUCUAUUUUUCUUUUCCUUUUUACUUCUCUAUUUUUUUGGACGGAUGACAAACAACUAUAAAUUACCUUUUAAGGUAGCUUCCAGCUUGAUGACCACCCCGACGGCAGGCAUGACUGGACUACACCUUGUGGGAGUGAUUUAAGCACCGCAGCAUACAAGACAGUAGCAGAUGGUCGUUUCGCUUUCAACAAGGAUGGCCGGGAGGAAAUCCUGGAGGAGAACUACCUAGCGGUUGGGAGAGCGGCGGUAAUCACCAUCAGGAACAACGCACUGGACGAAUUGAACAUGAUGGUUGUCUUGAACCAGAUCGAAUUAUGAGAUUGUCAGGGAAUAAAGGUUGUUUUGAGUUACUGCAGUUUGUUAUGCUGUCAGUUAUCCAUGUCCCGCCGGCCAACUGACAAACUGUGAUUUGUUUUUUUUAUCAGUGGUAUGCACCGUCAAGGACUAUGUAAUAUAGUCUGAAAACUUCUUAUGCCUUUUUGUGUGGCACUUGAUUAUUAAGUGAUUAGUAACCAUAUUUCUCUCUUUUAUUUUAUUUUUAAGUUCUUAGUCACUUCUCUUCUGCUAUGGCCAUAGUUUGUAUUUCUUUUAGAGUUUUGGACAGAGCAUUUUCAAUGUUUGGGGAGUACCCUUUGAAUUCUCUGAAAUUCAGUAAUUUGAGUUGAGAUAAUUUA